rnacentral:lncRNA from 1 species
GUAGCCUACACACACACACACACCCAGUGGCAAAGAUUUCCAGCUGGAAUACGUUUUUUAUUGAUGGAGUGAGGGCUUUGCAUAGGCGCUUUGUUAGGAUUUUUGUGGGACUGGAAACAAAAUGCUUGAAACGUAAAAUAAAGCUAUUAACCAAUUCCCAUGCUUUUAAAAGAAAGGUUCUGUUGUAGAACAGUAUAGAUCACUUUAGAUCCCUCAAAUAAUUGUGUUCUUUUCUGGUUUUUGAUUCUGUUCCCUGAACCAGUUCUAACCCUACCUAAGAACACAUGAAAACAUUGUGUAAUGAAGCACUAAUAUCUGUCUGUCUAGUAACUACACAGUCUACUCUGUGUCAGAAGCAUGUACCCUCCUGAGAUCAAGCAGGGAGGCUAGCUGUUUGGCAAUGUUUCUUUGUCAGUGUCAGUUUAUUUGAUCCUCCACCUCUCCCCUAUCCUCUUUUAAAACCCUCUCUCCUCCUUCUCUCCUCCAUCCCCCUCCGGGCCCUGAGCUCUGGUCAGUUGACUAAUCGCAAUGAAGCCAUCCAGUCUCUACAAGUGGAAAUGAGCAGACUGAAAGUGCGACUAGAGGGCAGUCUGAGAUAGACCAACCCUCCCAGUCUUGUCAGAGCUCCCCCUCAGCCCAGAACGACCACACACACCCUCUCAGCUGAACACCUUGCAUUAGGUCUGCUCAGCGAAGGAGCGAUGGUGGUAGAGAGAGGAAGAGGGGCUACGAGCAGGAGGAGGAGGAUAGGGCUCCGAGGUCAACUCCUAGAACAUCAGCUUUUGUACCUCGACAGCCUCUAAGACCUGAACUGGAUAUCAGGGAGUCAUGGGCUGUAUCCCAAAUGCGACAGAUUCGGUGCAUGCCCAGUCCACACCCAGAUAUCGGUCCUCCAGACGUAUCCCAGAGUCCCCUGCAUCACGUGGCAGAGCAGAGACAGUCAGGAACAGAGGAGCCCACAACAACCAGACACUGAGGUGACACUGAGGCUAUCCACAGUCACACUGGUCUUCAUUCUCAUCAAUGUUCUAUGUGUGGGAGGUCUGAGACAUAUUGGAACACAAGCAGUGAACACGCAUCUGGACAUCUGAACAGCUAUCACUAUUUGGAGGAGGACUUCUACUUCAAUGAGUCAGAGGCGAAAGACAUAUUGAUUAUCGUGGACCAGGCCGAAAUCCCCGACACUUGAAGAAGGAGGAGACGGUGCUAUAGAGGCCGAUGUGCUGGAUACCUGACGAGACUUCGUUGGAGAGUGGAUAAAUCACCUCUAACCUCCGUUCUAUUGGUGAAACUCAAACAGGAAGUACCAGUGACGCGCUCAAUACAGAAGUGGUUCGAUGAAGCGGAUGCUAAGCUACAGGACUGUUUCACUAGCACAGACUGUAAUAUGUUCUGGGAUUCAUCCGAUGGCAUUGAGGAGUUUACCACAUCAGUCAUCAGCUUCAUUAAUAAGUGUAUCAACGAUGUUGUCCC